rnacentral:tRNA from 1 species
CCCUGGUGGCUCAGAUGGUAAAGCAUCUGCCUGCAAUGCGGGAGACCCGGGUUCGAUCCCUGGAUCAGGAA